GUCUAUAAACAAGAAAAGGAAAAGUGAGACUUGAAUUUACUUGUGCAGUUUGCGUUAGGGCACACACCGUUUUCUUCUUCUUCAUCGUUGUUUCGCUGUCAAACUAAUCAGAAUCAUGGAUCACAAGGUGGAUCUCAGUGCCCCUCAUUCCAUGGGUACUACUAUCAUUGGCGUUACUUACAAUGGCGGUGUCGUUCUCGGUGCUGAUUCUCGAACCAGCACCGGAGUAUAUGUUGCAAACCGAGCCUCAGACAAAAUCACACAGCUCACUGAUAACGUCUACGUGUGUCGCUCUGGAUCGGCAGCAGAUUCUCAGAUUGUCUCUGAUUAUGUGCGUUACUUCCUCCAUCAACACACGAUACAACUUGGACAACCUGCAACAGUCAAAACUGCUGCAAACCUUGUUCGGCUUCUCUCAUAUAACAACAAGAAUUUUUUAGAGACUGGUUUGAUUGUUGGUGGUUGGGACAAAUAUGAAGGUGGACAAAUUUAUGGUAUUCCUCUAGGUGGAACAAUUGUUCAGCAACCUUUUGCUAUUGGAGGAUCUGGCUCCAGUUACUUGUAUGGGUUUUUUGACCAAGCUUGGAAAGAGGGAAUGACCAAGGAUGAAGCUGAGGAUGUACGCGUGAAGUUUAUAUCUGAAUCCUUGUUGCUGACAGUGUAUUUGUUGUACGGCAGGAUUUAGUAAAAAAGGCAGUUUCACUGGCUAUUGCUCGUGAUGGUGCAAGUGGUGGGGUUGUCCGAACAGUCAUAAUAAACUCUGAGGGAGUGACCAGGAAUUUCUACCCUGGCGAUCAACUUCCAAUAUGGCAUGAGGAACUGGAGGCUCAUAACUCAUUGCUAGACAUUCUUGGUGCCCCGGAGCCAAUGAGCAUGUGAACUAGUUGCUGUGAUUAAGAAUCUUGCCCGGCUAGAUUAUAUCUUGUCAUCUCUUUUCUGAACUAGUCAUCGAUUUGUGUAAUCGCUUACAUUGGAUAUUGUUUAUGUUGCGUUAAAUCUUGUGUACCAUGGAUUUCCUUAUUCCAUCAUAUGGCUCUAAAGUAACAUCUACUUAAAUGGUGGUGCAUCCAAAGCAAUUAUCAAGUCGUG